GCUGCAUUGGCUCAAUGGUAGAGUGUCCGCUUCCUAAGCGGAAGGUUGUGGGUUCGAGUCCCAUAUGCAGUA
rnacentral:tRNA from 1 species